GGCCGCCUGGCGAAAUGGCAUCGCGUCUGACUACGAGAGGAAUUCGUUAGCGGUAAUCAGGAGAUUGCAGGUUCGACCCCUGCGGUGGUCA